CGAUAGAAGCAAGAUCCGUGUUGUCAAGCAGAGUAACCCCAGUGGGACCCAUGGCCAGAUCUUACUGUAAUGGAGCUGGAUUUGGAUCCUCUACCUGUGUGGCUUAUGACCCGGACCGUAUGGGGAGUGGAUUCUAAGAAGUUAUUCCGUUACUGUAUAAUAAGGUGGUCCACAGAGGGAACAGUGAGUGACAACAUUAAAAUAAUGUAUACAAGUCAGUAGACAAGACUUGAUCCUACCUCUAAUGUUGCACACAUCGCAAAGAAAACUGUUUGCUUAAAAGGAGUGGUCAAAACUGUCAAAAGUGAGGAACAAGUAUUUAGGAUGACAUUUAUAACUGCAGACAAAGAUGGAGGAAGGUUCACGUUUUAAAACUGCAGGGAAAAGUGUAACGCUUGCAGCAAGAUAUGUAAGAAAACAAAAUCUGUUGUUGUAGAUAAAGAGAUCUAUUAUACGUGGACAAAAAGCAAGUGCUUCAUAUUUCAUCAAAGUAUUUCAAAGAGAAUCGCUUCUAGUGUCAAGCAAUUAAUCAUGCU